rnacentral:RNase_P_RNA from 1 species
GGAGUCGGCCAGACAGUCGCUGGAUUGCUUUUUGCAAUCGAGAGGAAAGUCCGGGCACCAUAGGGUAUGACGCCAGGUAACGCCUGGGGGGCGCGAGCCUACGGAAAGUGCAGCAGAAAAUAAACCGCCUGAUUCGUCAGGUAAGGGUGAAAUGGUGCGGUAAGAGCGCACCGCGCAAGCGGCAACGUGAGUGGCAUGGUAAACCCCGUCAGGUGCAAGACCAAAUAGGGAAGCGCUAGUGUGACCCGCAUUGCUUCCGGGUAGGUUGCUCGAGGUGUACGGUGACGUACAUCCUAGUUGAAUGACUGUCCCCGACAGAACCCGGCUUAUCGGCUGACUCCUUUU